UGGGUCAUUUCCCAACUUCCUGUGGAUUUCCAUCAUGUGACUGAAUUAAAUAUUUCACGAGUUUCGUCAUCUGCACUUUCACUCCUGCCGAUAGAAACGUCACAUCAGAUGAGCUGUACAUGAGUCAUUGACCGGUCAGGACCUUUCUGGACAGAGGAAAAGAAAGCUUCGUGGAUUCAAUUUCAAGAAGCACAUUGGAGGACUGACCGGCCCAAGCCUGCAACACAGUGAACGGCAAUGCAGCAUCCUGGCUCCUCUCGGAACUUGGUCUUCAGCAGGUUUAACCAAUCGUCUACAAUCCGAGUGGGGGGCGAAGCUCCAUCAUCAAAGGGCCAGUCCUGCAGCCACAGAAGAACAGAAAACAAACAAACAUCAAGAUAGAUUUUGUUGUUAUGUCUUGUUCACAUUUCAAAGCAGCAGAGAAAACAUGCGUAAUGUGAAACAGCUUGAGAACUUGAGAUGUUUCACAGUUUGCAGAACUUGCCUGUGGAGCAAAGCAUUGUGGGAGAACAAAUCGUUCUCAUGAACUGUUUUUGGGCAAAAAGCCAUAGAGAUCUGGUCUCCUCCCAGAUAACCACACAACUAGUGAAAAAAAGCCGAGAAGAGAGAAAAAGCAGGAGAGGAUAGUCUUUGGAGUUUAAGAUACAUAAAGUGAAGCUGGAAAGACGAGUCCAAUAAGAAGUGGAGGAGUAGAGAAGAUAGAGGGGAGUUUGGGGUAAGACAUAUCGGUUCACUGAAAUGACGCACAAGUCUAAUAUCAUCCUGAGGGAGUAUGGUGGUUUUCUGGUAAAACCAAUUGCAUCACUAAACACAGCUUAAGAUGGCAUUAAUUAUCAGCAGUUCUAUGUAGUUAUCUCGGUCUGAUUUUUAUUUCCUCUUUGAAUAUCCCAAGAUCUGAGCGUGUGUGAAGAUUGGUGCUUGGCAAUGUCAAGGAGAAAGGGUGUGUGGGCGAGAAUGACAGAUAAUGGAAUCGGACUGGCUGGCAGAUCCGUGUCUGUGCAGCUGUCUGGGCCUCCGUGCUCCUGCUGACCUGCAGACAGCUUUCCUCUCCCUUUUUAAUGCUUCUUAUUCAGUUCCUUGUUCUCAAUCAAACCUUGAUCUUUCCUUAUUCUCCUUGUUAACUGUGAGUGAACAACUUCCAAAGAAAAAUGGAUAAGAUGCACUAUGUUGAAGAGCAGAGCCUAUUUUUGCUCCUGAGGUACUGGUUACAGUUCCAGUUAGCCAUGAUUAUACAUCACCUAUUGUAUGUUUACUGUUACCACCCUACCGUGACUGCGCUGUACCUUCUCUUUAAGGAAGUAAAGAUAUUGCUCCGUUCCUAA